UGAACUGGCCUUUAUGACCUAAUUGUUACGGCUUGGGCUGUAUGGCUGCUUGGGAGGUGUGUUCUCUCUGUGCAGGGGGCGUGGUAGCUGGCUCGGCACCUGGCUCUCCUCUACACCUGCAGCAGAUCAACUCAUCACCGCUGUGCUCUUAAGCUCCAACUUCCUGGAGGGCCAGUGCUAGAUUGUUUUUUGCCAUCCGUGACCUCUGCUGCCUCGUGCCCCCUUGCCUCGCCAGCCACACUCCUGGAUCUACAAGCUCUCUAGCUUCCCAGCCUGGCCUCCCCAACCCUUGCCUAGUUAUUUUUUGUUCUCAAGAAUAAACCCUUUUUUCACACCUUCA